ACUUCGGUACAUCGGUGACAGGUGGUGCAUGGUUGUCGGUCAGCUCGUGUCGUGAGAUGUUGGGUUAAGUCCCGCAACGAGCGCAACCCCUAUUGUUAGUUGCCAUCAUUCAGUUGGGCACUCUAGCGAGACUGCCGGUAAUAAACCGGAGGAAGGUGGGGAUGACGUCAAAUCAUCAUGCCCCUUAUGACCUGGGCUACACACGUGCUACAAUGGUUGGUACAACGAGUUGCGAGUCGGUGACGGCGAGCUAAUCUCUUAAAGCCAAUCUCAGUUCGGAUUGUAGGCUGCAACUCGCCUACAUGAAGUCGGAAUCGCUAGUAAUCGCGGAUCAGCACGCCGCGGUGAAUACGUUCCCGGGCCUU
rnacentral:rRNA from 1 species